GAUGAACACUGGCGGCGUGCCUAAUACAUGCAAGUCGAGCGAACGGACGAGAAGCUUGCUUUUCUGAUGUUAGCGGCGGACGGGUGAGUAACACGUGGAUAACCUACCUAUAAGACUGGGAUAACUUCGGGAAACCGGAGCUAAUACCGGCUAAUAUUUUGAACCGCAUGGUUCAAAAGUGAAAGACGGUCUUGCUGUCACUUAUAGAUGGAUCCGCGCUGCAUUAGCUAGUUGGUAAGGUAACGGCUUACCAACGCAACGAUGCAUAGCCGACCUGAGAGGGUGAUCAGCCACACUGGAACUGAGACACGGUCCAGACUCCUACGGGAGGCAGCAGUAGGGAAUCUUCCGCAAUGGGCGAAAGCCUGACGGAGCAACGCCGCGUGAGUGAUGAAGGUCUUCGGAUCGUAAAACUCUGUUAUUAGGGAAGAACAUAUGUGUAAGUAACUGUGCACAUCUUGACGGUACCUAAUCAGAAAGCCACGGCUAACUACGUG
rnacentral:rRNA from 1 species